rnacentral:rRNA from 1 species
GAUGAACGCUAGCGGCAGGCUUAACACAUGCAAGUCGAGGGGCAGCGAGGUGUAGCAAUACACUGUCGGCGACCGGCGCACGGGUGCGUAACGCGUAUGCAACCUACCCACAACAGGGGCAUAACACUGAGAAAUUGGUACUAAUUCCCCAUAACAUUCGAAGAGGCAUCUCUUUGGGUUGAAAACUCCGGUGGUUGUGGAUGGGCAUGCGUUGUAUUAGCUAGUUGGUGAGGUAACGGCUCACCAAGGCGACGAUACAUAGGGGGACUGAGAGGUUAACCCCC